AAGUAAGAAACAAAUAAUUGUAAUCAGUUUCGACCUGAAAGUUAGAUAUUUUAUAUCCUUAUUUU
rnacentral:tRNA from 1 species